rnacentral:rRNA from 1 species
UGCAGAUUUUGGCAGCCUGGGCAUCA